rnacentral:lncRNA from 1 species
UCAACCGACGAACCGAAGUCAAGAGAGCUAAUCUUCCAAUUCUUUCCCUUUCCGCAAUGCCUCCGAAUGUUUCCAAUCUAUCAAUUGUACAUUAUUCGUAAGUAAACGAUUCUAUCGACUCACAUAUUACUAUAUAUAUAUAUCAAGCCUAGACUCAAUAACUCAUCCCAAUCUAUAGAAGUUCAAGGCCAAGGGUAAGUUUCAAUUCCUCCAAUUAUCACAACUUAAUGGUAGUCAAUAUAAUACACCUAAUAUUUAAUUACUUAUAUUAAUUAUUAUCAAAACAUAAACUUAUAUAUGAUAAUCAUAUUAGUGAAUUUACACAACCAGUAACCUUGACAGAUCAUUAACCAUACCCCCUAGCCCUUAUACUAUCCUUUUACUAACUUCAAUUAUACCUUAAUCAUUACUCCAUAACCACCCCUGAUCUUAGUCAGCCGUAACAAACAAAACAACAUAUAUUUGCUCGUCAAAUCUGUAGCGUGUGUAAUCCAAUUCUUCCUAAUACUAUACUCUAAUGUAAUUCCCAUAAUAAAAUAUAUCUAUAUCAAAAGCUCAGUGUGAAAUUUGAAUGAGAUAUAUCUUUCUUUUAAUUUAUAAUAUAAUACACUCAAGAAAUUGUUGUAGCCAAAAUAUCAUGCCAACUACUUUAAUUACGCAACCGUAACUACACCGUAUCUUCCUCAAUUCUAUAUUUAAUAUAUAUAAUUUAUAUAUAGUGAUUACAAGUGCCAACAAUUUCAUCGUUAUCCAAUGAUGACCAUUGGAGAUUAUUGUUUCCCCUACCCCACAACUAGAAUUACUACAACUUAGAGUAACAAUUUUUCAACUACAGCAACUCUUGAUUUCUUUUUCUUUCUUUUUGACACUAUUCAAUAACAUAGUAAUACUAGUAAUCAAACUGUGACAUAAAUCAAUACGAGAAUUUGACAUCUUAGAAUAUCACCUGAUUCGUUGGUUCUCUUCGACGCCGCAGGUAAGUAUUCACUCGGCUAAACCCUUAUUUCUAUUUUACAUAAUAUUUACUCCUAAUUAUUAUACAAAACCAAUUAUAAAAGCCUGAAAGUGACCCACUAUUAAUUUUAAUGUUAUCUCCUUUAACCACCAACUAAAUUACUUAUUAAAACUACCCACAUUAAAUUCAUAAACGUAGUUACGAAUAGUCCAAAAUACCCAUUUAGAAUCUAUCGAAAAGUGUUUUAUGAAAUAAAAAGUUCUAGUACUCAAAACGACCAAAAGGGUCGUUACAAUAGAUAUCAAUUUACCCAUCGUUCGUCCUCGAACGAUCAAAAGAAGGCAAGGGUAAGAAAGGGUACCUGAAUCGAUAAAAAUGUGUGGAUAUCUUUCAUGCAUAUCAACCUCACUCUCCCAAGUGGACUCUUCAACUGGUCGAUUCUUCCACUGAACCUUGAUAGAUGCAAUCUCCUUUGACCUCAACUUGCGGACCUCCCUAUCUAAGAUAGCUACAGGCUCCUCCCCAUAAGACAGAUUCUCAUCAAGCAGUACCGAAUCCCAACGAAUAAUGUAGUUUUCAUCACCAUGGUAUUUUUUCAGCAUGGACACAUGAAAUACCGGGUGCACUCUUGACAACCCUGGAGGCAAGGCUAAUUCAUAGGCCACCUCCCCCACGCGCUUAAGAACUUCAAAUGGCCCAAUGUACCUUGGACUAAGCUUACCUCGCUUACCAAACCGCAACACACCCUUCAUGGGUGAAACCUUCAGCAAGACUUGCUCACUCUCCAUAAACUCCAAGUCUCUAACCUUCCGAUCUGCAUACUCCUUCUGUAUGCUCUGAGCUGCUAAAAGCUUCUCCUGAAUGACUUUCACUUUCUCUAAUGAUUCCCUCAAAAGAUCGGUACCCCAAGGUCUCACCUCAUAUGCAUCAAACCAAUUAUACAUUUCCUCCCAUACAAUGCCUCAAAUGGGGGCAUAUCAAUACUUGAGUGAUAGCUAUUAUUGUACGAAAACUCUGCUAAGGGUAAGAAUUGAUCCAAAUGACCAUUAAAAUCUAUCACGCACGCACGAAGCAUAUCCUCCAGCACUUGAAUUGUUCGGUCAGACUGCCCAUCGGUCUGAGGGUGAAAUGCGGUACUAAUGAUACGAUUCUCACAAGAAGAAUCACAAAAAUAGCGGAAAUUGAAAAUACAAGAAAUAAAACAUAAAUAGAUAGACACAAAAAGAGGAAGCAAAAGGCAACCUAAUGGUAUAUUAAACUCAAAAACCUCAAUUCAUUAAUCCAACAAGAAGCACCUAACUCUUAUGACAACCUCGGGGGAAUCAAUAUCCCAAGCAGCCGACAUUUCUAAGCAAAAAUCAACAAAAGCUUACCAAGCUUUCAAACACUCACACAAGGAGUUCAAUUCAUCAUUAAUCAAUAUUCAAAAUAGCCUAACCUAAAAUGAACCCCUAAAGUCCUAUUUAGAGUUUUAGGCAUUAUUACAUAGAUGGGCCCAAAAGUGACCCGGAAUGGGCCAAUGACCUUGCCAAGUCGGGCUCGCCAAAUGGCUCGGCGAUGUGCCCAGUGGGUUUGGCGAGAACCAUGUUCCUUGCCUUCAUCUUUGAAGGCUUGCUGUAACUUUCGGCGGUCUUGGGAUCUAUUGGGCGAUGCACCGAUGGGCCUCUUGUCCACUUGGCGACGAACCCUACUCCCUAUGCAUGUUUGGACAUUAGGCGAUCUGGUGGUUAUCUCCCAAGCCAUUGGGUGAUGCGUCGAUUACUCUUCAACUCGCCGAGUGAGGAACUUCCAGUUGUAGCUCCUUGGGACCUUAGGCGAUGUUAGAACCCUCGCCAAGGUAGCUUGACAAGUCACCGAAGUGGAGGUCAGCUCGCCGAAUGGAGCAACAUGUUCAUUUGCUCCUCUUUGCUUCGUUAGGAUUUCCAUGCUCUAAGUUAUCAUCCACACAUGGUGUUGCUCAGUUGGGAACUACUUCAAAGCGCAUUUGUUACCAAACAAGGCUUGGAACCCCUUUCUUGGCACCAUCUCAAGCCCAAGAACCUCCAUCCUAGUGAACACUUCAUCAAAGUGUUGAAGUUUGUGAAUGGAUGGUCUUGAGGCAAUCUGGAUUGCAUCAUUCUCCCCUUCUUGAAAAGGAUUCGUCCUCGAAUCCAAACCUUGCAAAACCAUAGGGAGAACAAACAAGAAUAAGAUCUUCAUGGCAUGAGGGUUAGCAUUAGCAAUAACAAGUUUAAUACCAUGCCAAUGAUGCACAAACUUAACAUAUAACCAAGCAUUACAAAUAUCAACAAAGGGUCUAUAACCCAUCAAAGCAAGAGAUACUUGGCUAAGCAAGAAAAUUUGACAAAGGGGUAGAGCAAAGGAACCAAUACACUUAAACAAUAUUAUACGUAAGCCCUCAUUGGUUCCACAUCCAAACAAGCACAAGACCUCCCUUAUGUCAAGUAGUACAUGGACACUCUCAUACCUAAGUGCGAAGGUACAAGUAGUGUUGACCCAAAUUAAGACUCCAUCCAAUGCACUAGAUAACUUCAAAAAAGUAAUUAUUCCAAUUUAUGAGCAGGCUCAAGUACAUAAGUAUUCCCCACCCAAAUUAGUAAACAUACCUCACUCAAGCACAUUGGAUCAAGUAAUAACACUAAAGAAGAAUUAUGUAAAUGACAGAUGGUGUUACUAUCACACUUAGCAUACUUAAAAUUGACACCGAGGUCAAAUGAAAAAGGAUUGCAAACAUCGAGUCAAUGAGACUCUCAUUUGCUCUAUUUAUGCCAAUACUAACAUAAGAAAUGCAACCCAUACAAGUAUGGGUGGCAUUAUAUGCAAAUAGAUAAAAGUGUGUCCUUGAAUCCAAACCUUGUAAAACCAUAUAGGUCACAAGCAAGAAGCUUAUCCUCUUAACAUGAUGGGUAGUACAAACGUUAGCACUUAGAACAUUUAAUCGAGGAGACUCAAAUUCAAGGAACAACCAAAAAUCUUCUAUUGUCAUGGUUAUUAAGCCCACAAAUGAAGAACAAAGACAAUGGUUAUUCUUUUCAUCAACAUGGUAAUACCACCCCAAAGAUGAUACUCCCACCAGCUAAAAUACCUUCAUGCAUUCACCAGGAUCAAAAUAAUAGGAUGUCCAUAUAAUUGGAUCAUACCAACAAGUGUAGACCAUAAUGACACCCUGAUUCACAUGUAAUGCACAUUUAAUCCCACUAGGGAUUUCAUCAUAUGCAAAUAGAUAGUAAAGGAAGGUACAUAUUUCACCUUCUUUUGGCAAAUAUCUCCUACCCCCAUAAGAUGUACAGUCAACAAGAUCAUGCUCAGGACAAGAAAUAGAAAAGGGGUCUAGGAAGCUAUCCUUCCCCACACACAAUGUAGGCCCUUCAAGUGGAUGGUAAAACCUUAAGAAGAGCUUUCCUGCAUAGGGAAAUGAAUCAACAAUGUCACCCACUGUAUGCCUUCCAUUUCGACCAGGCAUUCCCACACAAAUUUCACAAUGCAACUCACUACUGGGGUCAAAUGAAAAGGUCAUCCAUGAACUUGGAUCAAGUGCACCUCAAUUUAUCAGGUGGGUACUAUGUCCUUCCAACAACAUACUCCACUCAACAACAUGAAUCAUCAUAUGUGAACAAGUAAUAUAGAAAUGUGUCUCUCAAAUCAACUUCCUUUAGGAUGUUUUCAUAGGCAUGAUUACUAAUAAAUUUAAACUCAUGGGUCAUACCAUUGAUAAUUGGAACACACCAAGAAAAAGAGUUAAUAGAGAAACAAACACCACCUCCCUCCUCACAACAUUCCUUCUCCAGAAGAGUACUCUCAUCUUCCAAGAAGAGAUUUCCAUCUUUGGGAGGGAAAGCCUCACACCAUAAUGGGUUAGUAUAACAAGUAUAAUUAUCAAGAACUAUAUUGCUCUCAAGAUUCACACUACUAGGUACAUCACUAAGAGUGAUUUCAUCAUCUUCAAAAAUGAUAUUAUACUUAAAGAGGGAAUGAUCAACCACUAGGGAAGAAUUACAACAUGAAAGUUCACCCUAAAAAAACACAUAUCAUCUUUCGAAGCAUUUCCGAGCACAAGAUCUCUAUGAGCAAAGCAAUCAAUCAGAUCUUCCACAAAAGACAUGCUCAUAGAGUCAUUUCCAUUCAAUUGAUCAAUAUUAUCAUUAGUACCACCGACUUGAGGUUUCUUAAGCACAUUACAAAAACCCUUAACCAGUGAACUACACUCACGAACAGACUGAUCAAUACAAUUAUCAUAAGAUAAUGAACGUUCAUUCAAAGCACGGGUGUCAACACUAGGUGGACACAAAUUGAUCUUGCUAGAAAAAUCAAUUUUGUCAUCAAUAUGAUCAACUAGUGUAUCCACACUUUCAACAAGAACAUUAUCAACACAUGGUAGCAAAACACAGGUGUUCGGAAGCGGGAAAUACAUGAAAAGAGCUAAUAUAUACGCUCAUAUACACUGAUAUACAUUCAGUGUAUAUGCAAAAAUGGAAAUUGGGUUGAAGCCCAAAAAUUUGCAGCAAAAUUGGCCCAAGAAGUGGCCCAAUUUCCUUAUCUCUUUUACUUUUCUAAUUGUUUUGAUUAUGGUUGACUAAUUUUAUUUAACUCUAACCAUACAAUAUUUUAAUUAACUUAAUUAGAUUCCCCAAAAGAUGAGUUAUUUUCUUUGUGUUGGUUUGCUUUAAAUACUUUUUUUUGUGUUGUGGUCAUUUAUUUUAUUAAUCAAAUAUUGGUCAAAUUUUACAUCCUCAAUUAAGUUAAAUCGUUUGUUCUUAAAAUAUAUGUUAUUUAACGCUUCUUCACACAUUUUUACUCAUUCUAAAAUUGUUUUAAGUAUAGUAUUUUUCUCCAAUAAACUUUAAAAAGUGGAUUUGCUUUACUUUGUCACUUUCUCAAAAGUUAGUCAAAACUUUGCUUUUAUUCUUCAAUUAGUCUUCCUGCUUUAGUCGACCCAAAUUGAUUCAAAUAAAUUAUGAUUAAUCUGGUGUUGUUAAAAUUCUGUUCACUUGCAUUUUAAUUCAAAUGUUUCAUUUUAGGUCCAUUUCUCUAAUAAAUAAAAAAAAUAAAAUACGUCAUUUAUUUAAUUAUUUUCCCAAAAUUAAUCAAAUAUUGUAAAAUAUUAUUUUAAAAUCAUUUCUCCAAAAAUAGUCAAAUAUUUAAUCUAAGUCGUAGGAUAACCGCGUGUUAGUGGGCGCUUCAAAUGCCUUAAAAACCUUCUUGAAGCGUAAAUAAGAACCGCUUACCCAUUUUCUCUAAAUUUAUAAAGAUUCAAUCUGUUAGAGCCUUUUUAAAUUAAGUAUUCUUAAUUUCUUUAAAAAAUUAAGUGACAACUCUUUUCUAAGUAUUUUUAUCAAUCUGUUUAAUACUUAGAAUAUUUCAAAAAGUAAUUUUUCUAAAGAUAGUAGAAUUACGGCAUAACAUAUACCAAUUUGUAUCACCUAGAUACCAAUUGGAUUCAAGUAAUAACACAAAAUAAAGGAAAAGAUGAGUUUUCCUAAAGUCUUAUAGACUCUUGAAAAAAAGUAAAGGCGUCCCCGUACCGUAUCACAAGACCCUAAUAGACAUGUCCUUGUGUGAUGAGAUCAUCGAACCUAAGGCUCUGAUACCAAGUUUGUCACGAUCCAAGAUGAGUCGUGAGUGGCACCCACACUUAACCUCCUAAGUGGGUGAACCAAGAAAUCCAAACCCCAACAUAUAUCAAUAAUUCAACUACGAAUAAAAACAAUAAUACGUAUGCUCAAAACUUAUUAAAGUAACCAAUCAAAUAAGCCUCUAAAGUCUAACACUUAUUAUCCCCAAAAUCUGAAAGUCAUCACACCAAGGACAUCUGUUCUCAACAUACCAAGUCUAACAGUAUUAAAGAAACCAAAAUAAAUAAAUAAAAUGGUCUAUGUUCGAAAUUUAAGGACAUUAUGCCAUGAUUGAGAGAAUCCAGCACGAGCUAGAAGGAAUAGCUCACCCUGAAAUCUGAUGUGCUAAAGACUGGCUAGAGCUAAGGGAGAGUCGAAGUUGCUGGUACACUUGCUGCACUUCACAAAAGAAAAUGAAGAAACCACAAGAAAGGGUCAGCACAAAGAACACGUACUGAGUAGGUUUCAUCAGCCAACCCAAAAUAGAAAUUAAUAUGCAAUGAAUAAUAGUAUAAAAUCAACUAUGACACUUAGCAGGUGGCCAACAACAAACAAUAUGAACAAGUGACAACGAAAGCAAGUACGCAAUCAAUCACAAUAUCACAUAUACGAGGACUCAUGCCUCCACACCAUGCUUAUUUGGGGAAAUGAGUUCUUUGAGAUUGAGUACAUUAACUUAGUUCAAUAUCUUUUCCUUUAAUGUUACUGUGUCGGAGCGUGACACCCCGAUCCAAUAAUACCGUGUCGGAAUGUGAUACCCCGAUCCAAUAAUACCAUGCCGACUCGUUGUAUCCAAUCUAAUAUAUCGUUAAUUUAUCAUUUAUUAUCACCACUUUUCACUUCAUUAACAAUAUUUCAUCAAGACUUCUUUAUUCAAGGCAUCAUUUCGAUAGACAGGGUUUCAAGAUUAUAAAUUUCCACGGUCUCAGGAUUUCAGACUAAUCACAAAACCACACAACCAAGCUACACAACCACACAAUCAAGUACAUAGAGAACUUCACAAUAAUCACCCAAUGCAUAUCAAUCGCUAUUAAGAAUCUAUCUAUCACAUAGAAUAAGUCAUAGCCUACCUCAACCGAAGAACCGAAGUCAAGAGAGCUAAUCUUCCAAUUCUUUCCCUUUCCGCAAUGCCUCCGAAUGUUUCCAAUCUAUCAAUUGUACAUUAUUCGUAAGUAAACGAUUCUAUCGACUCACAUAUUACUAUAUAUAUAUCAAGCCUAUACUCAAUAACUCAUCCCAAUCUAUAGACAAUUUCCUAAAGUUCAAGGCCAAGGGUAAGUCUCAAUUCCUCCAAUUAUCACAACUUAAUGGUAGUCAAUACAAUACACCUAAUAUUUAAUUACUUAUAUUAAUUAUUAUCAAAACAUAAACUUAUAUAUGAUAAUCAUAUUUAGUGAAUUUACACAACCAGUAACCUUGACAGAUCAUUAACCAUACCCCCUAGCCCUUAUACUAUCCUUUUACUAACUUCAAUUAUUACCUUAAUCAUUACUCCAUAACCACACCUGAUCUUAGUCAGCCGUAACAAACAAAACAACAUAUAUUUGCUCGUCAAAUCUGUAGCGUGUGUAAUCCAAUUCUUCCUAAUACUAUACUCUAAUGUAAUUCCCAUAAUAAAAUAUAUCUAUUGUAUAUUAACUAUUUAUAAAUUGAACAUUAUACAUAUGGGAGUACUAAUUACAUUUGUAUAUUAACUAUUUAUAAAUUGAACAUUAUACAUAUGGGAGUACUAAUUACAUUUGUAUAUUAACUAUUUAUAAAUUGAACAUUAUACAUAUGGGAGUACUAAUUACAUUUGUAUAUUAACUAUUUAUAAAUUGAACAUUAUACAUAUGGGAGUACUAAUUACAUUUGUAUAUUAACUAUUUAUAAAUUGAACAUUAUACAUAUGGGAGUACUAAUUACAUUUGUAUAUUAACUAUUUAUAAAUUGAACAUUAUACAUAUGGGAGUACUAAUUACAUUUGUAUAUUAACUAUUUAUAAAUUGAACAUUAUACAUAUGGGAGUACUAAUUACAUUUGUAUAUUAACUAUUUAUAAAUUGAACAUUAUACAUAUGGGAGUACUAAUUACAUUUUCAUAUAUCUAUUUAUAAAUCAGUUACUAACAGAUAUACACCAAAAUUGAUCAAGUACAAUCUCAAAUUAUUUGAGGUCAAUUAUGUCUCAUUCAUACUAAAGUUUUUUCAAUAAUUAUUUUUUUGAAGCAACUUUGGUAUUUUAGCGCGGAAUCUGUUGAUUUAUUUACUUACAUAGAUGUGAUAUAGCUACAAAUACUACUACGACAAUUUAAAUAUUAACUCUGAAGUAACUAAAUUAAAUUAAUUCAAAUAUCACCUCUAAAGUAACCAAAUUAUAUUUUCAUGAACUCAAUGCUUCUCAGAUAAGAAAUUCUUAGAAAUAUGCAACUCCCAUCAUAAAAAUGAAUCAAGCUAUACAAUUUUUCUUAUAAUUAAAAAUUCAAUUCGAUGAAAAAAGAAAUAGGCAAGAAACUGCUUAAGAAGUAAAGAUCAUUUGCACAUAUACUAUCAAUACAUGUAUUUGAUUGGACAUGUGCAUUUGAGCACACCAACAAUUUCACUUCUUGAAUUAAAUAAUGACAAAAUAUCUGUCUACAUUACACAUGAAUUCAAUUCCUCCAGAUUCUUCGAAAGAAGAGGAGGCCAACAAAAUACCCCGUGAAUGAGAAAGAUAAAAUGUAAGCAGACCUUACUACUAACUCGUGAAAUAAAAAAUUGUGUCAUAUUUGUGGAAGUAUAAGUCUCACAUCAAAGGGCAUCUCUAGAUUGGAGUCUCUAAAAUGUACCAAAAGUUUUAAUAAUUGUUACCCCUUAAACAUAAUAAUGACAAACUUCAAUUAAGUUUAGAAGCAUGAAUAAAGUUGGUUCAUGGGUUACUGCAUUAUAUUCUUAAAAAUGCAUCCAUGUUAAUUUCUCUCUUUUCCUUUGUCAGUGAGAUAAUAUUUUAAAAAUGAAAUCAUUUUUUUAAAUAUAGAUAACAUAAAACGAAAUCAUUCUUCAUUGGUGUCUUCUCUAUAGUUUCUAAUUGUUGGCUAUUCGAUCAUCCAACAAAGCUUCCUAUACUUAUAUAGGAAGACACAUUAGAAAAUAUUCUAUACCAUAUAAUACACACAAAUAAAGCUUGUAAACAAUCCUUAAAAUAAAUAUAUAGUGACGGUAAACCUUAGAAAAGGAUCCGCAAUUGUGCUCGGACUAAAGAAAAGAGGGCUUAUCCACAAUUCUCUUCUGGCACGAAACUACGCAGCUAUACCUGGACACCAAUAUCAGCAAAAGAGAAAAUACUUAAGCAUAUAAUAAGCUAACAUCAAGGAUUUGAAGAACCAAAAUUGUAUCAUAUUGCUCUUCACCAAACAUGGAUAAAUAUUUGCCGCUUAUGCUUUAUUAGCUCUCUUACUCUUAUAUGUCGUGUGUUUCAAAUUAGAAUUUUCAACAGUAUAGUUGAUUUAAUUCGUAACCCAUAAGCUUUGAACCGUUAGGAGAAGAAGAGAUUUGAGGGAGAUGAUCCAUCAUUUUGGCUCUAAGGCCUUAGCAAUUGUUAAUAAUAAAUAAUCUGGAAGUGGAGGAAAAAGAUCUAGAACGCUCUGGAAUGGAAAGAAAAAGUAUUGUGGUUUGCUAAAAUAUCAAUCAUGCAUAAUUACUAUUCUGCCCUUCAAUCAUAUUAGAUUUCGAUUUUUGAAA